rnacentral:rRNA from 1 species
CCCUUAGAUGUCCUGGGCCGCACGCGCGCUACACUGACAUGUUCAACAAGCCUCCUAGUUCGACAGGAUUUGAGAAAUCUUUGAACGCAUGUCGUGAUAGGGAUAGAUCAUUGCAAUUAUUGAUCUUGAACGAGGAAUUCCUAGUAAACGCGAGUCAUCAGCUCGCAUUGAUUACGUCCCUGCCCUUUGUACACACCGCCCGUCGCACCUACCGAUUGAAUGUUUCGGUGAAGAUUCCGGAUAGGACUUUUUUGAUUUAUUUCAAUUUUGUCUUAAAAGCUAUCUAAACCUCAACAUUUAGAGGAAGGUGAAGUCGUAACA